GAUGAACGCUGGCGGCGUGCCUAAUACAUGCAAGUCGAGCGAACAGACGAGGAUCUUGCUCCUCUGACGUUAGCGGCGGACGGGUGAGUAACACGUGGAUAACCUACCUAUAAGACUGGUAUAACUUCGGGAAACCGGCGCUAAUACCGGAUAAUAUAUUGAACCGCAUGGUUCAAUAGUGAAAUACGGUUUUUCUGUCACUUAUAGAUGGAUCCGCGCCGCAUUAGCUAGUUGGUAAGGUAACGGCUUACCAAGGCAACGAUGCGUAGCCGACCUGAGAGGGUGAUCGGCCACACUGGAACUGAGACACGGUACAGACUCCUACGGGAGGAAGCAGUAGGGAAUCUUCCGCAAUGGGGGAAAGCGUGACGGAGCAAAGCGGGGUGAAUGAUGAAGGUGUUCGGAUCGUAAAACUCUGUUAUUAGGGAAGAACAAAUGUGUAAGUAACUAUGCACGUAUUGACGGUACCUAAUCAGAAAGCCACGGCUAACUACGUG
rnacentral:rRNA from 1 species